UACGUAGGGUGCAAGCGUUGUCCGGAAUUAUUGGGCGUAAAGAGCUCGUAGGCGGUCUGUCGCGUCUGCUGUGAAAACUCGGGGCUUAACCCCGGGCCUGCAGUGGGUACGGGCAGACUAGAGUGCGGUAGGGGAGACUGGAAUUCCUGGUGUAGCGGUGAAAUGCGCAGAUAUCAGGAGGAACACCGGUGGCGAAGGCGGGUCUCUGGGCCGUAACUGACGCUCAUGCACGACAGCGUGGGGAUCAAACAGG
rnacentral:rRNA from 1 species